GCAGGGGUAGUAGAAUGUUGAAGUAUGGGUGCUUUAGGAGUGCUUGGUGGUGUGAAUGCCCCCCUGUG
rnacentral:tRNA from 1 species